rnacentral:rRNA from 1 species
UAGGGAAUCUUCGGCAAUGGGGGGAACCCUGACCGAGCAACGCCGCGUGAGUGAAGAAGGUUUUCGGAUCGUAAAGCUCUGUUGUUAAGGAAGAACGAGUGUGAGAAUGGAAAGUUCAUGCUGUGACGGUACUUAACCAGAAAGGGACGGCUAACUACGUGCCAGCAGCCGCGGUAAUACGUAGGUCCCGAGCGUUGUCCGGAUUUAUUGGGCGUAAAGCGAGCGCAGGCGGUUAGAUAAGUCUGAAGUUAAAGGCAGUGGCUCAACCAUUGUAGGCUUUGGAAACUGUUUAACUUGAGUGCAGAAGGGGAGAGGGGAAUUCCAUGUGUAACGGUGAAAUGCGUAGAUAUAUGGAGGAACACCGGUGGCGAAAGCGGCUCUCUGGUCUGUAACUGACGCUGAGGCUCGAAAGCGUGGGGAGCGAACAGG